rnacentral:rRNA from 1 species
GUGCACGCUGGCGGUAGGCCUAACACAUGCAAGUCGAACGGCAGCACAGUAAGAGCUUGCUCUUACGGGUGGCGAGUGGCGGACGGGUGAGGAAUACAUCGGAAUCUACUUUUUCGUGGGGGAUAACGUAGGGAAACUUACGCUAAUACCGCAUACGACCUACGGGUGAAAGCAGGGGAUCUUCGGACCUUGCGCGAUUGAAUGAGCCGAUGUCGGAUUAGCUAGUUGGCGGGGUAAAGGCCCACCAAGGCGACGAUCCGUAGCUGGUCUGAGAGGAUGAUCAGCCACACUGGAACUGAGACACGGUCCAGACUCCUACGGGAGGCAGCAGUGGGGAAUAUUGGACAAUGGGCGCAAGCCUGAUCCGGCCAUACCGCGUGGGUGAAGAAGGCCUUCGGGUUGUAAAGCCCUUUUGUUGGGAAAGAAAAGCAGCAGGUUAAUACCCCGCUGUUCUGACGGUACCCAAAGAAUAAGCACCGGCUAACUUCGUG